UAAGACGAGCUCUCCAAACGUUAUUCGGUAUCACUGGGCUUAAAGAGUUCGUAGGCGGUCUGGUAGGUGAGGUGUGAAAUCCCCCGGCUCAACCGGGGAACUGCGCUUCAAACCGCCGGACUUGAGGGAGACAGAGGUGGGCGGAACAGAUGGUGGAGCGGUGAAAUGCGUUGAUAUCAUCUGGAACACCGGUGGCGAAAGCGGCCCACUGGGUCUUUUCUGACGCUGAGGAACGAAAGCUAGGGUAGCGAACGGGAUUAGAUACCCCGGUAGUCCUAGCCGUAAACGAUGAGCACUAGUCCGUGGGGACUUUCACAUCCUCUCGGACGUAGCGAAAGUGUUAAGUGCUCCGCCUGGGGAGUAUGGUCGCAAGGCUG
rnacentral:rRNA from 1 species